rnacentral:piRNA from 1 species
AGUGACAAUACUGUAGGGCAGAUGCCAUU